rnacentral:rRNA from 1 species
UACGUAGGGUGCAAGCGUUAAUCGGAAUUACUGGGCGUAAAGCGUGCGCAGGCGGCUAUGCAAGACAGAUGUGAAAUCCCCGGGCUCAACCUGGGAACUGCAUUUGUGACUGCAUCGCUGGAGUGCGGCAGAGGGGGAUGGAAUUCCGCGUGUAGCAGUGAAAUGCGUAGAUAUGCGGAGGAACACCGAUGGCGAAGGCAAUCCCCUGGGCCGUAACUGACGCUGAGGAGCGAAAGCAUGGGGAGCGAACAGG